AAGGCUAGACACCAGUUAGAUCCUGGAGCUCGAGCUUGAAGGAGCCCCUCAGACAGCUUUCCUUCAAUUGGUCACAUGGUUUCUCUGGAUCUCAAUCUCUGUCCUGGGAAGAUGGACACACAGUCAGGACUUCAAUACCCCAGUGGACCUGUGAUCUGAUCAAUGCAAUGACUACUUUGGAUUGAAGCAGAGAAAAAGCCUGAGGUAGUCAAAGCUGCUGCAAGGAUGAAUUUCCUCAGAGGAUUAGAAUACCUUAGGGCUGGGAAGCACCCUGGAGGCCACUGAGUCCAACCCCAUUAUUUUACCAAUGAAGAAACUGAGGCCUGAAGUGGGUGACUUCUGGAGUGACAGAGCCGUGCCGUCGGGCGCCCAGACCCCCAUGGACACAAGGACAAAAGCCCAGAAACAAAACUAUGGAUAUUGCAGCACCUGGACUCAGUGGGUCUCUCUCUUGUGCAAUACAAGUGCAACUCACUAACAAAUAUAAACAGCUGAAUAAACCAGUCCCCCUCUAA